UGGGGCUGGAGGUCUUGCUGAUAAAGAAGUUGUAAAAGACCGUAUGAGUAAUGAAGCUGAUUUGUCAAAAAAGAAAUGGAUGGAGCUGGCAGGUAGAUGAGGCUCUCCGUUCUUCGGGAUGCAUUGAGGGCAGUAACAAGCAAUGUUUUAACUCAA